UACGUAGGGGGCAAGCGUUGUCCGGAUUUAUUGGGCGUAAAGAGCGUGUAGGCGGCUUGACAAGUCUGCUGUGAAAACUCGAGGCUCAACCUCGAGCUGUCGGCGGAAACUGUCUGGCUAGAGUCCGGAAGAGGAGAGUGGAAUUCCUGGUGUAGCGGUGAAAUGCGCAGAUAUCAGGAAGAACACCUAUGGCGAAGGCAGCUCUCUGGGACGGUACUGACGCUGAGACGCGAAAGCGUGGGGAGCGAACAGG
rnacentral:rRNA from 1 species